CAUCAUUUUCGAGUAGAACCAUUUUGCUAAGUACACAUAUGUUUUAAAAUUUGUCGAUGUACUAUCAUACAAACAGUACUUGAUCAUCAUUCUAAAUGACAAUCACCAUGACGUGCGAGCUAAUCCUUAUGGAGAACCUACAUGUAACGACCGAAUGCUUUUAAGCUGUAUGGGUGUAUAUACAAUUCAAUUUAAUGAAAUUUCAUUAAUUAUUUAACAUAAUAUGUAUUUUUAUUCGUAAUUUUAAAAAAAGGGAACCCUAGCACCACGUAUUACAAAAUAAUUUUCCUUCUUAAAAUUUUAGGGAUGUAAUACAUUUGCGGUUUGUAAAAAGUAUGAAACUUAUAUAAAUAAAAGUCAAAACAUGUGCUUACGAAAAUAUUUUGUUACGUGAAAGAAAAAUAAUACAAUAUCAUAAUGAAUAAUACGAGUUUGCAUAUAAAAAUUUGUGAAAGUGACAAGUGUAUUUAUACACUUAACAUUAAUAACAUUGCAACAAAUACAAAUAUUUGAAUGGCUUCAUCUCUCUUGCUUGAAGGAACACAAAUUGAAAUUAAUGAUUUUUUAACUAGUCUUGUGGAAAAACAAAUAGCUCGGUGAAUAUUAAAAAUCGGCUAACGUCAGAAAACGAGUCGGAUUUUGAAGAGGAGAUUGAAAUUAACUCUAAGAAGUCUAAAUUGACCAAUUAAUAAUUUAAAUACUAUAUUUUCAACUUUAUAUGUAUAGUUGUACCAUUAUUUUAUAAUGUAGUAAAUUUACUUGUAUUGAGAACUAUUGACAACUGUAUUCGAACAAUUGUGAUGGUUAAAAGCAUCGAAAUAAAUGAAAUAUCAUUAUGAA